rnacentral:rRNA from 1 species
AGAGCUAACGCAGGGAACUGAAACAUCUUAGUACCUGCAGGAAGAGAAAAUAAAUGAAUGAUUCCCCCAGUAGUGGCGAGCGAACGGGGAACAGCCCAAACCAGUGGCGUCGCAAGGCGUGGCUGGGGUUGUAGGACCGCGACAUUGUAUGCAAAUCGUGAACAGAACACUUUGGAAAAUGUGACCAUAGACGGUGAUAGUCCAGUAUGUGAAGCGAAAUGCGGCAUAGCGGUAUCCUGAGUAACGCGGGACACGAGGAAUCCUGCGCGAAUCUGCCGGGACCAUCCGGUAAGGCUAAAUACUCCCGUGAGACCGAUAGCGAACGAGUACUGUGAAGGAAAGGUGAAAAGAACCCCGAGCAGGGGAGUGAAAUAGUUCCUGAAACCAUACGCCUACAAGCGGUCGGAGCACAGCAAUGUGUGACGGCGUGCCUUUUGCAUAAUGAUCCUACGAGUUACCGUCACUGGCGAGGUUGAGUGUCAUGAGACACGUAGCCGCAGUGAAAGCGAGCCUGAAGAGGGCGCACAGUCAGUGGGGGUAGACGCGAAACCAAGUGAUCUACACUUGGCCAGGAUGAAGUCCCGGUAACACGGGAUGGAGGUCCGCACCAAUAAGCGUUGAAAAGCUUCUGGAUGAGCCGAGUGUAGGAGUGAAAGGCCAAUCAAACUUGGAGAUAGCUCGUACUCCCCGAAAGGCAUUUAGGUGCCGCGUCGGAUGGUCACCGUGAGAGGUAGAGCGACCGAUAGGACAAGAGGGCUUCACCGCCUAUCGAGUCCUGACGAACUCCGAAUGCUCACGGUCUGCAGUCCGGCAGUAAGGGGGCGGGUGCUAAGGUCCGUCCCCGAGAGGAGAAGAAUCCAGACCGCCGUCUAAGGUCCCGGAGUUCUGCCUGAGUUAGUCUAACGAAGUCUGGUCCCUAUGACAGCUAGGAUGUUGGCUUGGAAGCAGCCAUUCAUUCAAAGAGUGCGUAACAGCUCACUAGUCGAGGGUCCGGGCAUGGAUAAUAAUCGGGUAUAAGGCAGACACCGAAGGCGCGGGAUAGCAAUUUUAAAAGUAUCGGUAGGGGAGCAUACUCACAGCGUCGAAUGGUGUACGUAAGUUAUCCUGGAGCGGUGAGUAAAGCAAAUGUAGGAAUAAGUAACGAUAAGGGGGGUUAGAUUCCCUCCCGCUGUAAGACCAAGGUUUCCCGGGCAAUGCCAAUCAGCCCGGGGUCAGUCGGGUCCUAAGUCUAAGCCGAACGGCGAUGGCGAUGGCAGAGACGGUUAAUAUUCCGUCACUGCCGCAUGGGGCGACGUGGAGACGGAGCAGUGAAACCACCGCGGGGCGACGGAAGUCCCCGUUGAAG